rnacentral:rRNA from 1 species
CAACAGGGAUUGCCCUAGUAACGGCGAGUGAAGCGGCAACAGCUCAAAUUUGAAAUCUGGCCUCGGCCCGAGUUGUAAUUUGCAGAGGAUGUUUCUGGCGCGGUGCCUUCCGAGUUCCCUGGAACGGGACGCCACAGAGGGUGAGAGCCCCGUAUGGUUGGACACCAAGCCUGUGUGAAACUCCUUCGACGAGUCGAGUAGUUUGGGAAUGCUGCUCUAAAUGGGAGGUAAAUCUCUUCUAAAGCUAAAUACCGGCCAGAGACCGAUAGCGCACAAGUAGAGUGAUCGAAAGAUGAAAAGCACCUUGAAAAGGGGGUUAAACAGUACGUGAAAUUGUUGAAAGGGAAGCGCUCAUGACCAGACUUGUGCCGGGCGGUUCAUCCGGGGUUCUCCCCGGUGCACUCCGCCCGGUUCAGGCCAGCAUCGGUUCUCGUUGGGGGAUAAGAACGGUAGGAACGUGGCCCUCCCUCGGGAGGGUGUUAUAGCCUGCCGUACGAUACCCUGACGGGGACCGAGGUUCGCGCUCCGCAAGGAUGCUGGCGUAAUGGUCAUCAGCGACCCGUCUUGAAACACGGACCAAGGAGUCGUCCAUUAGAGCGAGCGUUUGGGUGUAAAACCCGCACGCGUAAUGAAAGUGAAAUUAGGUGAGAGCUUCGGCGCAUCAUCGACCGAUCCUGAUGUUCUCGGAUGGAUUUGAGUAAGAGUUUUAACGGACGGACCCGAAAGACAGUGAACUAUGCUUGUAUAGGGUGAAGCCAGAGGAAACUCUGGUGGAGGCUCGCAGCGGUUCUGACGUGCAAAUCGAUCGUCAAAUAUGAGCAUGGG